rnacentral:lncRNA from 1 species
UGUUACAAAAAAUAUUUUAUUAAAAACUUAACAGUCUCCCUAGCAUUCACAAUAUACAUUUCCACAUAAAUCCCACAAAUUGUUAUUGAUGACAUUUGUAGUUCAGAAUAAGAUUUUACGGUUCAUUCAACUGGUUUUAAUACAAGUUUUAGGCAAACUACAUGAAUUUCAACAAUCUUUUAAUAUUAUAUUUAAAAUAAAGUUUGAAUAUACGCACAUGAAUAUUUUCAGAAAAUAUUUCUUAUACAUAAUUAAUUUUUGGCCAUUACAAAUACAUUAUUUUUAGACAAUAUCUUGUUUUUCUUCUGUAAGUUCAAAUUGUUGCUGAGAGAUUGUGAUUGUAAGAUUCAGAAAUUGUUUUAAAGACAUCAACAGGGGUAUUACCAGAACCUCUAGGAGGACCCCAAAAUUAAGUGAAGUAAAGACUUAAUUUAAAAACUAGAUGUGUCAAAGCGACACGAAUGGCCCUGUCCCAAAAAGUUGAAAAAUCUGCAAUUUCAAUAUAAACACAUGUGGACAUAAACAUGAUGGUAGUCUCACAUAUCAAAAAUCAGCUCAAAAUCUGGAGGGGAAUAGAGAAACUAGAGGCUGUCACAACGACAGCAAACCGGAUUUAUUAACAUUUAUUUGUGUCCUGGCAAUAUCACAAGAACCAUUACUGAUGAAUGGUGAAAGUGAAAAUCGUCAAUAUCAAAUUUGACCUCCAUUUUGUCAUCAGUAUCAACAUAUUAAAAUUUGAAAAGCUUAGAUUGAAUGGUUCAUGAGUAAAUGCAACAACCUGAAUGGAAACGCCAUUUUACGAUCUUUCAAGAACCAUAACUCCUGAACGGUAAAAGUCAAAAUCGUC